rnacentral:rRNA from 1 species
UAAUACGGAGGAUCCAAGCGUUAUCCGGAAUCAUUGGGUUUAAAGGGUCCGCAGGCGGUUUAAUAAGUCAGAGGUGAAAUCCUACAGCUCAACUGUAGAAUUGCCUUUGAUACUGUUAGACUUGAGUUAUUGUGAAGUAAUUAGAAUGUGUAGUGUAGCGGUGAAAUGCAUAGAUAUUACACAGAAUACCGAUUGCGAAAGCAGAUUACUAACAAUAUACUGACGCUGAGGGACGAAAGCGUGGGUAGCGAACAGGAUUAGAUACCCUGGUAGUCCACGCCGUAAACGAUGGAUACUAGCUGUUCGAUGCACAUUGGUGUGUUGAGUGGCUAAGCGAAAGUGAUAAGUAUCCCACCUGGGGAGUACGCUCGCAAGAGUG